rnacentral:rRNA from 1 species
CCCAGACUCCUACGGGAGGCAGCAGUGGGGAAUAUUGCACAAUGGGGGGAACCCUGAUGCAGCGACGCCGCGUGAGUGAAGAAGUAUCUCGGUACGUAAAGCUCUCUCAGCAGGGAAGAAAAUGACGGUACCUGACUAAGAAGCCCCGGCUAACUACGUGCCAGCAGCCGCGGUAAUACGUAGGGGGCAAGCGUUAUCCGGAUUUACUGGGUGUAAAGGGAGCGUAGACGGCACUGCAAGUCCGGAGUGAAAGCCCGGGGCCCAACCCCGGGACUGCUCUGGGAACUGUGCGGCUGGAGUGCGGGAGGGGCAGGCGGAAUUCCUGGUGUAGCGGUGAAAUGCGUAGAUAUCAGGAGGAACACCGGCGGCGAAGGCGGCCUGCUGGACCGUGACUGACGUUGAGGCUCGAGAGCGUGGGGAGCAAACAGGAUUAGAUACCCGUGUA